rnacentral:rRNA from 1 species
GAUGAACGCUGGCGGCGUGCCUAAUACAUGCAAGUCGAGCGAACAUACUAGGAGCUUGCUCCUUCGACGUUAGCGGCGGACGGGUGAGUAACACGUAGGUAACCUACCUCUAAUACUGGGAUAACUUCGGGAAACCGGAGCUAAUACCGGAUAAUAUUUCGAACCGCAUGGUUCGAUAGUUAAAGAUGGCUUUGCUAUCACUUAUAGAUGUACCUGCGCCGUAUUAGCUAGUUGGUAGGGUAACGGCUUACCAAGGCGACGAUACGUAGCCGACCUGAGAGGGUGAUCGGCCACACUGGAACUGAGACACGGGCCAGACUCCUAGGGGAGGCAGCAGUAGGGAAUCUGCCGCAAUGGGCGAAAGCCUGACGGAGCAACGCCGCGUGAGUGAUGAAGGUGUUCGGAUCGUAAAACUCUGUUAUUAGGGAAGAACAAACGUGUAAGUAACUGUGCACGUCUUGACGGUACCUAAUCAGAAAGCCACGGCUAACUACGUG